rnacentral:rRNA from 1 species
UACCCGCGGCCCGAGUGGUGCUCAUUAUUAUUGAGUCUAAAACGUCCGUAGCCGGUCGGGUAGAUUCCUGGGUAAAUCGAACCGCUCAACGGUUCGAAUUCCGGGGAGACCGCCUGACUCGGGACCGGGAGAGGCGCGAGGUACUCCUGGGGUAGGGGUAAAAUCCUGUAAUCCUGGGAGGACCACCAGUGGCGAAGGCGUCGCGCUAGAACGGAUCCGACGGUCAGGGACGAAGCCCAGGGGCGCAAACGGG